rnacentral:tRNA from 1 species
GGUUCUGGCUCAAGCGGUAAAGUGCUUGCCUAACAUGCGUGAGGUACUGUGUUCAAUCCUCAGCACCA